GAAGGGCGCUGCCCCUGCUUCGGGCUGAGCGGGGCUGCGGGUUUGGGCAGAGCUGGAGGGAGGAGCGGGUGUUGGAAGCAGCAGCGGAGCUGGCAGGACCCCGAUGCGGAGGGGCACAAGCAGCCCUGCCAUGGCAGAGGGGGCGGAAGGCUUCGAGCCCUGCGAUGCGGUCACGGCGGGUUUAUCUUUCUCACGAAGGCGCGGCACGGGACGCUGUCGGGCUUGUGCGCGGCCCGGGAUCGGGAUCGGGAUGAGGAGGAGGGCGUGGGCCGGGCACAGCCUGGUUUCGGCCCGGCUGGUUCCUGCCCAGCCUGUCGCCCCUGCCAGCCGGCCGGGCACGCAGUGUCCCCGGGGACUCGGCACGGGGGAGUCCCGCUCCAGUGCUGCCUCCGGCGCUGCGCCCCUCCGACAAGAAACUGAGGCGUGGAGAAGGGCAGCGAAGCUGGGGAAGGGUCUGGGGUUCUGUGAGGAGUAGCUGAGGGAGCUGGGGCUGGAAGAGAGGCCCAGGGGUCCUUUUCCCUCUCUACCACUCCCUGACAGGAGGGCACAGCCAGAUGGGGGUCGGGCUCUUCCCGCAGGCAGCAGCGACAGGACAAGAGGACAGAGGCUCAAGGUGUGGACAUCAGGAAGGAUUUCUUCACUGAAAGCGUAGUCAGACUGCAUCCCUCUUUCCUGCAACCUGAAACAAAAAUCUUGAUGCUGAAUUCAGCUGAGGUCCUUCCAAACCUGGAGAAAGUAAAAGCUUCGUUUCACAUCCAUGGAGAUGAAACGAUGUUUGUUUGCUUUCUGACUGGGCUUAGGAUCUCCCGAGUCCCUCGACAGGGCAGGUUUAACACGUAUGACUUUAGGCAUCAAUUACACAGUGUAAUUGUUUGUUUUUACGCUUCCAUUGCCAUGAACACCAACCUUAAUUUGUUUUUGACCCACUUCAACACCCAGAGCCCUAUUUGCAGAGCUAUUAAAGCAUUGGCAAUUCAGAGAUACACAUUUGUACAGAUGGUUAUUCCUCCUUAAGUGCUUUUGCCUUAACUGAAUUACCUACCGUUUAUUUUCUGUAAUUUCCUCAGUUUGCCAACAUCACUUUAGUUUUUCUGAAGUGUUUGCAGCUCAUCCUGCUCUGGCAAAAUGUGUGCUGGCCUUGGAGACAUUACUGAAAAUAUUUAGCUCCAUGAAGAACUGUGCUUCAAACCUUCUUCCACCAGCACAAGGAAGCCAGCUAUAGCUACUCUGAAGUGUGCCUUCUCAACUAUGUACAAACCAGAGGCCUCCAACCCUCACAUUCCCUGGCUGUCGAUGAAAAAUAGUUAGAGAGGCAAAGACUUUCUGAAAAUAAUGACAAACACAGGAGCCUUGUCUCGAGUGCUUCUCACCCAUCCACCGAGGCAGUCCCUCCUGGCAGAGUGAAAAUGUGAUUGAUUUGCUGUGAUUUCUGCUUAGGGUAUUUGCUAAUGUGGAUUUAUGGCCUUUUAAUGAUACAGCCACUUGCAAGUUAGA